rnacentral:rRNA from 1 species
UAAGGAAUAUUGGUCAAUGGAGGCAACUCUGAACCAGCCAUGCCGCGUGCAGGAAGAAGGCCCUAUGGGUCGUAAACUGCUUUUGAACAAGAGAAAACCCCGGUACGUGUACUGGGUUGAUAGUAUUGUUAGAAUAAGCAUCGGCUAACUUCGUGCCAGCAGCCGCGGUAAGACGAAGGAUGCAAGCGUUAUCCGGAUUCAUUGGGUUUAAAGGGUGCGUAGGCGGACUGAUAAGUCAGUGGUGAAAUCUCUCGGCUUAACCGAGAAACUGCCAUUGAUACUGUUAGUCUAGAGUACAGAUGAUGUGGGCGGAAUAUGACAUGUAGUGGUGAAAUACUUAGAUAUGUCAUAGAACACCGAUUGCGAAGGCAGCUCACAAAACUGUAACUGACGCUGAGGCACGAAAGUGCGGGGAUCAAACAGGAUUAGAUACCCAGGUAGUCCCUGAGCGGGCUGGCAAGGCGCAU